rnacentral:tRNA from 1 species
UCUAUUAUUAUAUUUAGUAUAUUUAAUUGCAAAUUAAAAGGUUAAUAGAA